rnacentral:rRNA from 1 species
ACUCCUACGGGAGGCAGCAGUGGGGAAUAUUGCACAAUGGGCGCAAGCCUGAUGCAGCCAUGCCGCGUGUGUGAAGAAGGCCUUCGGGUUGUAAAGCACUUUCAGUCGUGAGGAAGGUAGUGUAGUUAAUAGCUGCAUUAUUUGACGUUAGCGACAGAAGAAGCACCGGCUAACUCCGUGCCAGCAGCCGCGGUAAUACGGAGGGUGCGAGCGUUAAUCGGAAUUACUGGGCGUAAAGCGCAUGCAGGUGGUUUGUUAAGUCAGAUGUGAAAGCCCGGGGCUCAACCUCGGAAUUGCAUUUGAAACUGGCAGACUAGAGUACUGUAGAGGGGGUAGAAUUUCAGGUGUAGCGGUGAAAUGCGUAGAGAUCUGAAGGAAUACCGGUGGCGAAGGCGGCCCCCUGGACAGAUACUGACACUCAGAUGCGAAAGCGUGGGAGCAAACAGGAUUAGAUACCCUGGUA